rnacentral:pre_miRNA from 1 species
UUAACUCAAAUUUGUAUUGAGUUGGAACGUUGCCGUUCCAAAGGCAUACAAAUUUGAGUUA